rnacentral:rRNA from 1 species
GACGGAGGGUGCUAGCGUUGUUCGGAAUUACUGGGCGUAAAGGGCGCGUAGGCGGCUACUCAAGUCGGGGUGUGAAAGCCCGGGGCUCAACCCCGGAACGGCACCCGAGACUGGGUGGCUUGAGACCGGGAGAGGUGGGUGGAAUACCCAGUGUAGAGGUGAAAUUCGUAGAUAUUGGGUGGAACACCGGUGGCGAAAGCGGCUCACUGGCCCGGUACUGGACGCUGAGGUGCGAAAGCGUGGGGAGCAAACA